GUAGGGAAUAUUGGGCAAUGGAUGCAAGUCUGACCCAGCCAUCCCGCGUGCCGGAAGAAGGCCCUCAGGGUUGUAAACGGCUUUUGACGGUGAAGAACAGACAGGAUGCGUCCUGUUUUGACGGUAGCCGUUGAAUAAGCACCGGCUAACUCCGUGCCAGCAGCCGCGGUAAUACGGAGGGUGCGAGCGUUGUCCGGAUUUAUUGGGUUUAAAGGCUGCGUAGGCUGGAAGGUCAGUCAGCGGUGAAAAGCUAUCGCUUAACGAUAGUCUUGCCGCAGAUACUUCCUUUCUUGGAUGAGGAGGAGGCCACUGGAACGGAUGGUGUAGCGGUGAAAUGCAUAGAUAUCAUCCAGAACACCGAUUGCGAAGGCAGGUGGCUGUACCUUAAUCGACGCUGAUGCACGAAAGCAUGGGGAGCAAACAGGAUUAGAAACCCUAGUAGUCC
rnacentral:rRNA from 1 species